rnacentral:lncRNA from 1 species
AUCCCUCUCUGGAAUUCACAUUGCUUUCUAGCUAAUAUUUCUUCUCUCUGUUCCUUGGACAUAAAAUUUUGUCUAUUUCCCCUGUCUGCAAUUUGUUUCUUCACAUUUUCUCUUGAGCUACUUUUUGUCAAGAUAACCACCACAUUGUCAAAUCCUCUGAUAAACUCUCAGUAAUUAUCUUCUGCCCUCUCAGGACCAUUUAACAAAUUUGAAUGUCACUUUAAAUACAUUCCCUACUUUGUUUUAAGGAAACACAUUCUCCAUAUUCUUUCUGUUGGACUAUCUUCUUCUCAGUAUCUUGAGCUCUCGUUUUCCUGACCUCUAAAUGGUGGAGUGCCUCGUGUCUCAGUUCUUAGACCUCUUUUCUUCAUUAUCUAUCCUCCUUUUUCGUGGUGGUUCCAUUCAGUCUCAAGGCUUUCAAUUAUCUUCCAUGUGCUAACAUCUCUGAAGUUUAAAUAUCUAGCUUAAGCUAGAACUGACUAUAAAUGAAUAACCAAAUAAAUGACUAACAAAUGAGUUCUUGGUGUACAGCUCAUUUAAUACUUUAAAAUUAAUAUUGAGACUACAAAUUCAGAUUCCUAACUAAUAAGUACAUAAAUGCAUGCCUGGCCAUAGUUUGUUAAAUUUUUGGGCUUAUUCGUGGAGAUUGAUACAAAGAGAAGAAAUGGAAGAUAGUUCUGGGAUUCCACAGGUCAUAUAGAAUUUAUUUAAUUGUGGCAGACUGCUGAAUUCUUUCCUUUCUGCUCAGUGAGGAAAUCUUUUUUUUUUUUUUUUCAGGUUUAUAACGCAAACUGUUAUAGGAACACCUUUCCCAAUCUUCUGGAAUGUAGGCAUGACAGGUGAUCACCUCAAAUUUACUGCCACUAACAACAUUCCACUGAAGAACUAAAAUGCAUGGAGGACUCCUGAAAUGUCUGCAUUCCAACUCGAGGGAGGUGGAAGAGCGGUGAGUCAAAGUCAAAGUAGAGCGAGGAGAAAGGAACGGGGGAAAGCAGAGCACAGAACCUGGGAAACAGUUGAUGAGCUAUGAGAGUGUUGGUGGUCCCCUUGUGUCUUACAUUCUUUUCAGCUUAAUUAAUGAUUCACUCUGCCUUUUAAUCUGCCUUCCAUAGAUUAUUAACCCAGUAGCAUCGUUUAUUUAACGCAAAUCACAGGAAGUUGGAUAUUAAAUAGUAUUGGUCAGUAUCUCCCAUAUUUGAGCGCCUAAUAACAUCUUGCUGAGUCACAUUUAGACCUCAUGCUGUGUUUAACAUAGUUCCUUGGUUGGUAUACAAUAUAGAUUCUGAACUUUGUUACUCUAGAAUUUCUUCAGAGGUUUUGAAAUUGUUUUAGAAAAAGAUCAUUUUUUUAAGUUCCAUAGACAAAGUAUAAAAAUUAAGUAUGCUUCAUAGUCCUUGAGCCAGGGUUUCCACAUAGGGCUGUAUGAUCAUUUUGAUAUAGAACAAAUAAAGUUCAUAUUAACUACCUCGAAUACCCA